AGAUUGAACGCUGGCGGCAGGCCUAACACAUGCAAGUCGAGCGGCAGCACGGGUACUUGUACCUGGUGGCGAGCGGCGGACGGGUGAGUAAUGCCUAGGAAUCUGCCUGGUAGUGGGGGAUAACGCUCGGAAACGGACGCUAAUACCGCAUACGUCCUACGGGAGAAAGCAGGGGACCUUCGGGCCUUGCGCUAUCAGAUGAGCCUAGGUCGAUUAGCUAGUUGGUGAGGUAAUGGCUCACCAAGGCGACGAUCCGUAACUGGUCUGAGAGGAUGAUCAGUCACACUGGAACUGAGACACGGGUCCAGACUCCUACGGGAGGCAGCAGGUGGGGAAUAUUGGACAAGUGGGACGAAAGCCUAGAUCCAGCCAUGCCGCGUGUGUGAAGAGGUCUAGGAUUAGAAGUCAACUUUAGUGGAGAGGCUAGUUACCUAA
rnacentral:rRNA from 1 species